AAUAAAGAAGAUGUCUCAAAUAAAGAAGAGACCGAAGACGUCUUCGGUCCGGCUCAUAUUCAAAGGACGUCUCAAAAUAAAGAAGACGUCUUCGGCCCCCUCAUAUUCCAAGGACGCCACAAUUUCCUUGGACGCCACUUUCUCUGGAUUCUUCACACCCCGAUGCACAAAGGGUUUCUUCUCUUCUGUUUUAAAUCUGCUGUUUAUUGGAUGUGCUGUUCGAAAUUUUCUCUAUGUUCCAGGUUGAAAGUGUGGUGGUUAUCCUUUUGAAUGAUUUAAUUUGUUGGGAGUUUGGUUUUCUGGCUUGUUUAGAUCUGUAACAGAUCUAGGUUUUCUGGCUUGUUUGGAUCUGUUGGUUUUCUGGUUUGUUUGGAUCUGUAACAGAUCUGCCAUAAAUAUAUGGUUCUCUCUAUUUUCAAGCCACUGACUCUUUAUCUUUUUCUGUUGUUUUAUUCAUGGCAGGACUCUCACCUGGAAGUUAAGGGUGAUAUUUUCGUCUCUCCCAUCUCUCUUAUCAAAAGAGGGCCUGAAAGCUCUAGCUAGAAGGAAAAAAGAAAGAAGAGAUGCCAUGAAAGAAUUUGAUUAUUUGAUGUGUGGUUGAGAAAUUCAGCUGAUAUGAAACUGACAACAGUCCUUCUCUUCUCCCUCACCUAGUCUGGUUUUUUGUUUUUGUUUUUGUUUUUGUUUUUUUAAUCUCAGAAAACAACUCUCACCUGGUAAAGGGUGAUAUUUUCGUGUCUCUCAUCUCACACCACAAAAGAGGACUUGAACGUCCUAGAAUGAAGAGAAAAAAAAGAAUUGUUCUAGAUUUGUAAUUUUCAUGGGAGUGAUUGGCAAAAACAAUAAUAGAUGUUUGGUUCUCUCAAUGUUCCAGCCAUUGACUGUUUAUCUUUGUCUGUUUUUAUAUCGAUCAUCAUGGCCUCGGAACUCCAGGACGUCUUUUUCCUAUUUUUUCAUCUACCGCUCAGACGUGCACCCCAAAGGAGGUCUUGUUCUAGAUUUGUAAUUUUCAUGGGAGUUAUUGGCAAGAUACAUAUGGCUAUGUUUAUACUCUUAAUGAUUUGAUUUUUGAGUUGACUUUCUCGAGUUUUUCUGUUUGUGCUGAAAAAAAUAAAAAAAAUACAGCCUUUUGGAUGUCAUUUCAGAUAAAUUUUUGAUCUUUGGAUUGUGAUCUCCAAUCUCUUUGUUGAUAUUCAGCGCAUAAAAUUCAUUAAUUUGACAGAUAAAGUUUUGACUAAUUGAUUCUUUUUUGUUGCCUUGAAUUUCUACAUAUGCUGGAUAAAACAUUUGAUGAUGGCUAAAGAUACCAGGUGGGUGGAAACUCUGUACCAUAGCAUGUCCUUGUGCCAGGAACUUCUGAAUAGUACUGGAACCUCAUGUUGAAGAAACUGCUAAGUAGCUUCCUGAAGCUAAAUUUUCUGUAGGACCAGUGGUUCAGAAACACUACGCUUUUGCUUGGGUAGUUACUGGACAAAAUGCUUUCAAUCACUAUUCUCUAUCCAUUGCCUGAUCUAAAAGAUGCAAGACAAUUGAUGAUGGCUAAAGAUACUAUGAGGGUGGAAACUGUGUGCUAUAGUGUGUCCUUGUGCCAGGAAAUCACCUUUCCCUAUCCAUUGCCAGAUCUAAAGAUGCAAGAAUUUAUUUGAAAAAAAAAAGUAGCAGGUUAAAAUGAGAUUCUCAUCACAAAUUAUGAUCUCUCCUUUAUCAGGGGAAUGGACAGACAUGGUUGGUUUUUCUCUGCUAUUGGAGCACUAGCUGCCAUUAUCCAAUUGAAAUCUGAAACUCUCUCUCCAUCUAGUACACACGAUGCUAUCAUAACCAUGUCCGUUGUUGCUGUGCUCGUCCAUAUUGUAGGUAAACUUGCAGCUGGUCACUUCCAAUCAAUUGCUGCCAGCGCCAGUCUUCUGGCCAGAGCUCUCGCCAUUGCUCUGCUACUCAUAAUCCCUGUCCCAAGAAUUUGGUGGUUACUUCUUUCCGCGUGGGUGGUGUUAUUUAUAUGGGUAGCAUAUACUUUACGCGAGGAAUUGUUACAAUUACGUGAAUCCCUUCGCAAUGCAGUUCGCCAGGCCAAGGAGCCAAAUGCUGAGUCCAGUGAGUUGCCAGUGUAACCUUACAUAUCAAAGACUGAUUUGGGACCCUAUCAAAAUAUUAUGUUGCAAAUACUAUUAUCCAUGCAUCAUUGAAAAUGAUGUUCUCGUUAAAUUCCAAAAAGCCUGUUUAAGGAUGAAGAA